rnacentral:misc_RNA from 1 species
AACACCUGAGAUUAACAGCUCUAUACAUGGAUUGGUAGUCAAUCUGUAUCUUAAGCAAUCGCUAUCAAAAAUAAUACGAGCCCAGCAGCAGCAGCUCUAAAAUUUCUUCUUUCUACGAGAUUAAUCCUAUACAGAUCUGUGUACGUUUUUUAUUUUCCCUCUCUUUUUAUGGUUUCUGCUUUUUCCCCUUCUUUGAUUAAUUUUUUACUCUCAGAUUUUCCAUUUUCCAUUUUUCUUUCGGUUGGGCUCCUCAGCUUCUACUGCUAAACGGCCGCAAAUUUCUAUACUUUUUAUUCUCUAAUUUUCUUUCUAUGUGUUCUGAUUUUCUGUAACCCUAAGUUUCUUGUGUCUUUUUAUUUUAAACGUGUUUAUGAUAAUUUGUUAUGAUGUUCCUUUCUUUCUUUCUUUCUUUGAUUAUAUUCAGAUUGUUAGUAAUAGGGUAAUUACGAGGGUCAUAUAGUUUAUGUUGCUAUUGAAAGUUUGAAACUCAUCCUCCUACAACUUUGGCAGGUUCAUACUUUAUUUUCCUAUAUAAACAUGCUCUUAUCCUGUAAUAUUCAAAACUUGAGCGAAAUGCUCUCUAACCUUCAUUACUUCAACUUGGUUCUGCUAGACAUACUUCCCAAGUGUAUAUUAGUAUAUAAAGUUGCUGAAUUUUAGAUUAUCAACUUAAUAUCAACUGUUUUUAACUCAAAUUAAACCUUUUACCUAAUCUGGAAAUUUUCUGUACAGGAGAACUUGGGGAAUUUUGUUUCCAGUGGCUAUGUUUUUUCAUGUUUUGAUGGUGGAUUCAUGACUUAUGUCUAUUCUUAGAUUUGCUGUCACUAAUGUAAUUUCACAUUUGGAUAUUUAGCUGUAGCUAUUUUCCCAUUAGCAACUGCGAUGUGCAUUUGCAAUCUAACAUGUCCAUAGAUAUGUGCAUAUGCAACAGUUUCAGACAAGCUUUUGUAUGGAUAUGACAAAAGAUCUGGUAAUUUAACAUGAUGCCAUCACAAUCUUGUUGCAGAUAACAAUAGUUUCUUUUUUGUUAUAUUUAUUUUGACGUAGAGUAUAUAAAUGCUAAUUGCAUUUUCAGUGUAUAACCCUCCACCCCCAACCCCCACACACAAAAAUAAAUAAUUAAAAAUAAAAAAUAAAAAUAAAAAACUUCAACAUGAGAUGAGAAUAUAAGAAAAAUGUACUUUUUCAAGGGAAGGGGAAAAAAUAGUCAAAUACCGAUACAUGAAAGGAAAACUCUGGCCUCGCCUCACCUAACAUUAACAGCUCUCCACAUACCGACAUUUGUACAGUCAUUGUCACGUUUAGACUAUUUCAAACAUAUGAUCAUUUUUGUUUUUACACCCUUAAACACUUGUAUAGUCAUUUUAUCUCGUCUUGCAGGGGCAUCAGGCGUAUUCCACAUCUGAACCUCGGCUUCCUCAACUCUAUGUAUAAACCUUAAAACUACAAAAUGUACAGUUUCUGGUACAAGCAAUAUUGUUUAUUUUCAAUCAGCUCAUACCUGUCUAAAAGAUCAAGUACAGACAUAUCUCUGGACACGUGAAGGAAGAAAGAGAUGAAGCUCACACUAGCCUCAGUUAGCUGUACAAUCUUUCUUUCCUAUGCCACCUAAGCAGAGUGCAGAGACUGUGCGGCAAUUCUCCGUUCUGCAAACAAUUCAAGCCACUGACAAGUGAGCUAAUUGACAUGGAAGAAAUUAUAUGCUCUAUGGGUCAAACCACCAAGAGUACCUGGAAAGAAAUUGUUUUAGAUGCAUGUAUAGCAGAGAAGUUAUGAUCAUUAGCAUUCUUAGAGCCUUGAGACCAAGAGCUGCUUUUAAGAGCCAUGACAAAUUCUAGCUAACUUUUUACUCUAGACAGCCAAACAGUUUUGAGAUGCACAUUGCAGAAAAUAGGCUUUAUUUAAAUUCUCCAACGGCAUCCCCUUUUCCCAUUUUAUGUAUUAACCAUCCAAUGGGGGUUUAUCCCAACAUCAUUAUUUUGGACUACAUGCUAGCAUGUGCUAUGUAACAAUUGUUAAGGGUGGGAUAAUCCCCAAAUGCCCCCUUUCCAGUGGGAUCAAAGCUCAUCUCAAGUGCAUGCAUACAAAUAAGUCUCAGCAAAAUCAUUAACGAGAAAAAAUAGAAUACCCCCAGCAGCAACAAGUUUCUCUACACGAGCAACAAUAUGCUUUCCAUAAGUAUACUUCUUCAAUGCGUUUAAAUGAACUUUUAUUCGUGAAAGAAUCAACUCGCGUUGUUGGUCAUCACAAGUCUCGAGCACUUUUUGGACAACAUAGUUUGCAAAUUGAUCUUUCAUCAUUGCCUGAAGAGGCUCAUUUUCAUCAGUGGUUCCGAGCAUCUCAUUCACCAGUAACUCUCGUUCACUGGGGCCACCAAAAGCUAAACAUUUCUCCACGACAUUGGAGGCAAACUUCUGCUGACUCAUCUGAACUAUCUUCCCAGCCAACUCCUUAAUAAUAGCAGAUCGUUCAUGGGGUUUUCCAUGCUCCAAUACAUGCUGAACAACAUAGUUGCCAUAUUGAUCCUGUGCCAACAUGCUAACAGCUCCUAAAAUCUCAUCCAUGACUUUACUUUGUGUUUUUGGGUCCUUGCAGUGCUCCAAUAUUCUCUGUAUCACGCGGCACCCAUAUGGAUGGGUGGAGAGAGUCACAACUUGAUCAAAGAAUGUUGAGACAAUAAAUUGGAUAUUUUCUUCAGGCACACACUCAAUACACUUUUGGAUGACAUGGUUCCCAUUUUGGUCACGUACACAUCGUGUGACAUGACCAUCAAGUUCUUCGACCAUUUUAAUCUUCUGGUCUAGAUCAACAACCUCAAUGGCCUUCUGGAUCACUCGACAACCAUACAUUUGAAGGCUAAGUGUCAGGACAUGCCCAGUUAGUUGGUCAGCCAGUUCUCUUAUUUGGGAUGCAGAUCCAUGCUCAAAAAA